GUUAAAACCAUGCUGGAGGCUGGUGCAGUGGCUCACGCCUGUAAUCCCAGCACUUUAGGAGGCCGACGUGAGGCAGGCGGAUCACUUGGGGUCAGGAGUUUGACACCAGCCUGGCCAACCUGGUAAAACCCCAUCUCUAUUGAAAACACGAAAAUUAGCCAGGCGUGGUGGUGAGUGCCUGUGAUCCCAGCUACUCAGGAGGCUGAGGCAGGAGGAUCACUUGGACUCGGGAGGCAGAGUUACAGUGAGCCGAGAUCCUGCCACCGCACUCCAGCCUGGGCGACAGAGAAAGACCCCAUCUCAAAACAACAGCAACAACAACAAAACCGGGCUGGGCGUGCCUUCCCAUCGGACACCCGACCUCGCAAGACUGUCAUUAAAAGUCUCACUCUCGCUGUUCUCUGGGUUGUGAGUCCAUUCUCUGGGUGUGGACAGGCAUUCAGCUCAGUCUACGGCCCGCAGACAGAUUUCCUAGAAAUAACUGCUCCUACUUCUCAACUCUUAACAAAAAGGUCUCUGAAAAGGAAUUUGGAGGAAACAGACUAUUCCAGUGAAUAGUGUACAAGCCUGGGAGAUGCGGACUUUGGUGUAAAAUGAAGGUGUGUUCAAAGAGCAAAGAAGGAGUUCGGGUUUUAGAGCAAAAAGCUCCUGCCCUGGGGUCCCCAUUAGGUCCAUGUAGGCAAAUGAAGGAUUGAAACGUG